AUACGGAGGGUGCGAGCGUUGUUCGGAAUUAUUGGGCGUAAAGAGCAUGUAGGCGGUCUGUUAAGUCUGGUGUGAAAGCCCGGGGCUCAACCCCGGAAGUGCAUUGGAUACUGGCAGACUUGAGUAUGGGAGAGGAAAGCGGAAUUCCGAGUGUAGGAGUGAAAUCCGUAGAUAUUCGGAGGGACACCAGUGGCGAGGGCGGCUUUCUGGACCAAUACUGACGCUGAGAUGCGAAAGCGUGGGGAGCGAACAGGAUUAGAAACCCGAGUAGUCC
rnacentral:rRNA from 1 species